rnacentral:rRNA from 1 species
GGACGAACGCUGGCGGCGUGCCUAACACAUGCAAGUCGAACGGGGUACCUUCGGGUACUUAGUGGCGAACGGGUGAGUAACGCGUGAGAAACCUGCCUUUCAGUGGGGGACAACAGUUGGAAACGACUGCUAAUACCGCAUAAUGUUAUUUGGGGGCAUCCUUAAAUAACCAAAGCUUUAUGUGCUGAAAGAUGGUCUCGCGUCUGAUUAGCUAGAUGGCGGGGUAACGGCCCACCAUGGCGACGAUCAGUAGCCGGUCUGAGAGGAUGAACGGCCACAUUGGGACUGAGAUACGGCCCAGACUCCUACGGGAGGCAGCAGUGGGGAAUAUUGGGCAAUGGGGGAAACCCUGACCCAGCAACGCCGCGUGAAGGAAGAAGGCCUUCGGGUUGUAAACUUCUUUUACCAGGGACGAACAAAUGACGGUACCUGGAGAAAAAGCAACGGCUAACUACGUG